UACGAGGGGGGCAAGUGUUGUUCGGAAUCACUGGGCGUAAAGGGUGCGUAGGCGGCCUAUUAAGUCAGGGGUGAAAGACGGUGGCUUAACUAUCGCAGUGCCUUUGAUACUGAUGGGCUUGAAUGUACUUGAGGUAGGCGGAAUGUGACAAGUAGCGGUGAAAUGCAUAGAUAUGUCACAGAACACCAAUUGCGAAGGCAGCUUACUAAAGUAUGAUUGACGCUGAGGCACGAAAGCGUGGGGAUCAAACAGG
rnacentral:rRNA from 1 species